rnacentral:rRNA from 1 species
GGGGAAAAGAAACCAACAGGGAUUGCCUCAGUAACGGCGAGUGAAGCGGCAAGAGCUCAAAUUUGAAAGCUGGCCCCUUCGGGGUCCGCGUUGUAAUUUGCAGAGGAUGCUUCGGGUGCAGCCCCCGUCUAAGUGCCCUGGAACGGGCCGUCAUAGAGGGUGAGAAUCCCGUCUGGGACGGGGUGUCUGCGUCCGUGUGAAGCUCCUUCGACGAGUCGAGUUGUUUGGGAAUGCAGCUCUAAAUGGGUGGUAAAUUUCAUCUAAAGCUAAAUACUGGCCGGAGACCGAUAGCGCACAAGUAGAGUGAUCGAAAGAUGAAAAGCACUUUGAAAAGAGAGUUAAACAGCACGUGAAAUUGUUGAAAGGGAAGCGUUUGCGACCAGACUCGCCCGCGGGGUUCAGCCGGCAUUCGUGCCGGUGUACUUCCCCGUGGGCGGGCCAGCGUCGGUUUGGGCGGCCGGUCAAAGGCCCUCGGAAUGUAUCACCUCUCGGGGUGUCUUAUAGCCGAGGGUGCAAUGCGGCCUGCCUGGACCGAGGAACGCGCUUCGGCUCGGACGCUGGCGUAAUGGUCGUAAAUGACCCGUCUUGAAACACGGACCAAGGAGUCUAACAUCUACGCGAGUGUUCGGGUGUCAAACCCGUACGCGCAGUGAAAGCGAACGGAGGUGGGAGCCCCCUCGCGGGGCGCACCAUCGACCGAUCCUGAUGUCUUCGGAUGGAUUUGAGUACGAGCGUAGCUGUGGGGACCCGAAAGAUGGUGAACUAUGCCUGAAUAGGGCGAAGCCAGAGGAAACUCUGGUGGAGGCUCGCAGCGGUUCUGACGUGCAAAUCGAUCGUCAAAUUUGGGUAUAGGGGCGAAAGACUAAUCGAACCAUCUAGUAGCUG